CAUAGCGACUAUCGUGGCAUAUCAAUAAGCGGAGGAAAAGAAACUAACAAGGAUUCCCUUAGUAACGGCGAGUGAAGCGGGAAGAGCUCAAAUUUGAAAUCUUCAAGGUUUUACCUUGACGAAUUGUAGUUUAAAGAAGUGUUUUCUGUUGAAGUUUUGGUAAAAGUUCUUUGGAAUAGGACAUCAUAGAGGGUGAGAAUCCCGUAUUUGACCAUUACUUUCCAGCUGUUGUGAUACACUUUCAAAGAGUCGGAUUGUUUGGGAAUGCAGUACCAAAAUGGGUGGUAAAUUUCAUCCUAAAGCUAAAUAUUGGCGAGAGACCGAUAGCGAACAAGUACCGUGAGGGAAAGAUGAAAAGAACUUUGAAAAGAGAGUUAGACAGUACGUGAAAUUGUCAAAAGGGAAGCGUUUGACACCAGUGUUGUUUUCUCGAAAAUCAAUUAAAAAUGAGUUGGAUGUUGUGUUGUUAUGACCUUAUCAGCUUACUGUACUUUUUUCUUGCUCUUUUUAAUGCACUUUUCGUUUAACAAGUCAACAUCAAUUUCUUUUGUUGUAAAAGGGUCAUUGGAAGGUGGCUUUCACUUCGGUGAAAGUGUUUAUAGCCUUUGGCUUCUACAAUCGGAGAGAUUGAGGUCUGCAGCGUAGAUCCUUCGGGGUUAGAUACGUAGAUGCUAAGUUAUAGUUUUUUAUAGACAACUUGUUGACUAUGAUUAAUCAUGUAGCUUACUCGCUUACGCUAUUUUACCUACGCUUAGGAUGUUGAUAUGCAUGACUGAUAU
rnacentral:rRNA from 1 species